rnacentral:rRNA from 1 species
UACGUAGGGGGCAAGCGUUGUCCGGAUUUACUGGGCGUAAAGAGCGCGCAGGCGGCCGAGUCAGUCGAAUGUGAAAGCCCCCGGCUCAACUGGGGAGGGUCAUUCGAUACUGCUCGGCUUGAAGGUGGGAGAGGGAAGCGGAAUUUCAGGUGUAGUGGUGAAAUGCGUAGAUAUCUGAAGGAACACCAGUGGCGAAGGCGGCUUUCUGGCCCACUCUUGACGCUGAGGCGCGAAAGCUAGGGGAGCAAACGGG